GGUGCGAAGGGCCUGUGCCAGAGGAAAAAAACACACACAGGGAAACUGCUUUUUUAAAAAUCAAGUGUAGAGAAUAGUCAUUUUUAAACUAAAUUAGAGAAUUGCGAUCAAAUGGCAGUCCUCAAAGGCGUAACAAGUUCAUCUUUCUUUCACCAUAGGGGUUUAUAGUUCUUUGGCUUGUGCUACUCUGGACUCAUUUUACUGUUUCUGUUUUUAUUAUCUUAAGUGCUAAUUAACAAGAAGAAAUAAAAUUUAAAAAAAAAACCUGUAGUUUCAUUACCUUUUUGAAUAAUGUCAUACAAAAACAAUGUAUUUGUGUUUUUCUGUGCUGUGAGAAUUGUUGUUUGUAGACGAAUAAUAUCAUUUUGUUUAGAAUUACAAAAUAGUUUUUAAAUAUUGUCUGAGAAAAGCCAAAGUUAAUGCAACCUAGUGGAAACUGUAAGACCAUUUGAGUAUUGUUUGUUUUAUUGAUGCAUUUGGAUUUUGUUGUUUGAUGGAAUUUGAGCCAAAAAAAAAAAAAAUAACGCAGGCUUUCCUAUUUCUACAACUGAUUGUACUUAUGCAUUUUGUACCAGUGGAACUUUUUAUACUGGAGAUUAAAAAAAAAAAAAAGGAAAUUUUUGUGGCUUACUCUAGUGGGCCCCCUGACAAUGACUGAUUUCAAGUUUGAUUUCUGGUUGAUCGAAAGAAAGUUGCUUUUCUUUUGAGAAUUAAAAACUUUGGCUUGAUUUCUUUUUUCCCUUUGCUUAUAUCUAGCAUUAGAAUUUUGUCUUAAAAUACAGCGGUAAGUUUCACUUUUUAUUCUGUAUUGUGCAGUUACACAAUAAGGUAAUUAGAUUUAGAAGUACUCAAGUCACUUUAAGUGGAUAAAUGUAUUAGUUAAAACUUUAGGAGUUUGCUUUUUCGCUGUUUAGAUCAGAGUUUUUUCUGAUUCUUCUGUCCUCAUUGUGAACAUAACCGUGUAGUUGAAACAGUCAAACUUAUUUUUGUAACGUAUGUUAUCGUGUGAUGCAGUUUUUUGCUUCUGUCUCCAAUAUUAAACCAUUUUCCUAAUACUUGUUUCUCUCUCUGCGUGUUGUAUUGUUGGUAGUCAUUCUGUGUUGGUGAUACAUCUGCACACCUCACUGUUUCACGUAUCUGUUUUUUUUUUUAUAUGUCGUGUAAAAAGAUACAGUCGAUUCCACCUAAGUGAAUAUCUGAUUUGGGGAAAGGGGGAACUACACACCAGCCACCUCUGAUUUAGGUACGACAGCCCAUUUUAACCACCGCUUCCAAGACUUAGACUCACUGCUGUGGUCCACUCCACAGCUGCCUACCGGGUGGGAUUUGCCAGGACCUCGUACAGCCUUUGGACCACACGGCUACACUGCACAUUCUCUCGCCUCUCUCCCCCGCCCCUGUGUAUGUGUUCGGUUCUUAACACUCGUUUCAAACGGCUGCUGCUUUUGCUGCAUCAUCUUAAACUUAAGAGGCGAAGCAGCAGAGCUGGGGUUCCCUCUGUCUACGCACGAAUCCAAAGACACAGCAUUACUUACCAUCAACCUCUUCUCAAAAGCCAAUCACAUUUUUUAAAGAGGUGAGCUCUCAAGGGAGGAAAAAAUAAACUUACUCACCUGGUGAAGAGGUGCAAAAAGGGUGAAGUGUCAUCUGUGCGUUGCCAUCACUCACUAGAUAUGUAUAGAAGAGCAACCUAUUUUGUAAGCACUGACUGACUCCGGGAGCAGCUUUAAUUAGUAAAACCAAUACAAGAGGAAAGAAAGCCUUGCAAGGGCCCCAACGGAGGCUCUGCCCAGUCUGGCGGGAUUGGGGGGACCAGGGGACGUUCCCCACGCGCCAGUCUUCAGGCUCUACCACCCAUUUCCAAAUGAAGCAGAAGGCCACGCGCGGCCACACGCGCCCUCGGGGAUGCGUGUCCGUCUGUGAGGAAGCCUCGUCCCCCGCCCCGCCCCGCCCCGCUCGGCAGGGAGAGCUGAGGGCAAGCCCUUCCCUGUCCCCCCUCAGCGUGAAGCCACAGCCCCCCGCCCGCCUGCUACGCUCAGGACUCCGCCUGCCCUCCAAGUGCUCUUACAGGACCCCGCUGCCCACCUCUCCUCCACCUCCGGAGACGCACGCGCUCGGGCCGCCUCCGCCCGCAGCACCGGCGGCCGGCCUCGGGCCGCCCAGGAGAUUCCCCGGCAGGUGCUCAGGCCCGUCCCCCUCCGGUGUCCGCAGCCCCUGGGGCCCCCAGACUUGUCUUUUUCCGAGUCGGCUCCGCCAGAGAGGGGCCGGCUGAGGCGCAGGGAGGGAGGCCCUUCCCCCCAGGCCGGGCACCUCAGGAAGCGACUCCCACCAGCUCCAAACCCGCACAGACGGGAGCUGGUUCCUGCCCCAGCUCCUCCUCAAGUCUCAUCAGAGCCUGCAGGAGUUUGCCUCUGAAAACCCACUGCUGACAGGAGUGGGAAAGAGGGCAAAGGGUGUGAUUUUUCUUUCUUGUUAUCAUCUUCUUUGGGGGGUGGUUAGAAGGUGUGAGGGAGGGAGAAGGGGGUGAAGAGGGCCAUCAACUCCUUCCAAGAUGCAAGUGUUUUUAGUUUUUAAAUAUUUAAGUAGUAUAAGUAUGUAUAAAUAUAUAUAUAUAUAUAUAUAUCUCCACCAUUUGGCACAAGGCAAAAGACUCACACUAAGUCAACAAAGAAAGGAAAGACAAAGCCAGAUUUUUUUGUUGUUGUUUUUCCAACAACAAGAAACAGUAAUUCUCCAAAGAAGGGGACGAAACCGCUAGUUCCCUUAAGCACUUGUGACUGCAAAGUCGGUCCCUGCUAAAUUCACACCUACCCAAUACCGCUGCCCUGUCAGCAGGUGCACUGUUUGCCCGCACAGACCGCCUCGGGAAAUGAUGGAACUGUCAACGUUUACCCUGCUGAUGGAAGCCACACGUCUGCACAGCCCACAGCAGUCAUGAGUGGUCUUGGGCUGGCACUCUUAGCUGGCAGGCUAGGGGGGACAGUGAACAUUAACGUACUGUGAAUCGUUCCUGAUAAGUGAAUAAAACCUUGUGACCAGACAAUCAGCUUAUUCACUUAUCAGGAAUCGACUGUUCUGCUAAUUCGCUGUUUUUGUUUUUCAUCUCUGUUGUAGUUCACUAUUUCUGCUGUGUUCUGUUUUCUCCUCUCAUGCUUGGGCAAAAUCACUGGGAAUAGUAUCUUCAUGUGACCAUGAAACGUUUAUAUCGAGUGAAAAUGAUAUCUUAAUAAAAUCUAUGCACUUGCUAUCAGGAACACAAUACUGGAUGUGUCUUAUAUAUAUUGAACUAUAUAGUACUCGAUUUCUUAAAUAAAGCUUAAG
rnacentral:lncRNA from 1 species